GAAAGUGAUCCGACCGGAGUGUCUGGUUUGCAGUGACUCGUUCAUACUUGUCUCAGUUUUUGUUUCCUGCUCGGCUCCAACCACUCGUUUCACUUUGAGAGCGAUAGUUUGGAUCACUGUGUCAGAGUCUGGGGUCUUUGUCUGUGUCAUUCAGUGAGUUGCAGAGAGAGCACAGUCAACAGAGCUGCAGGAUGGCUCAUCAGCUGAACGGACUGUUUCCUCAGUCACUGCUCAAAGCUUUCAGUGUUCUGAUCUUCAUCAUUCUCCUAAAGGACGUCUGUAAUGGUCAGCCUCAGUUGAUUGGUCCAUCUCAGGUCCUGGUGGCAAGAGCUGGUGAUGAUGUCAUUUUGCCAUGUCAUCUGGAACCUGCAUAUGAUGUUUCUGCAAUGACACUGGAGUGGACAAGAUCUUCACUUGAACCCAGAUUUGUCUAUGUUUCACGUGGCAGUCAGGAACUCGAAAAACUAAAAAAUCCUUCUUUCAAAGGAAGGACGUCAGUGUUUGUUGAUGAACUCAAGAAUGGAAAUAUUUCACUGAAAAUCUCCAAAGUGAAAUCUGAUGAUACAGGAACAUACAGAUGCUAUGUUCCAGUUUUGGAAAAAGAAGCUUUUGUCGAGCUAGUUGUUGGUAAGUAGCUUCUUGUUGAUGGUCUUGUCUGGUUUCCUGGGUCGUUGACCCAGUGUUUUCAGUUUUGUCAUGUUCAGUUUAUUUUGCCACAUCCAUGUUUUUCACUUCCUGUUUCCUGUUUUAGCCUGUGUACCUGUGUAUUGUGUUCCAGCUCAUUCCAUGUAUCAUUAGUACAAUUAUGCUCAGCUGUUCACUCACCUGUCACCUAUCAGACAUUAUUCAGCCAGUGUAUUUAAGUCCUCAGUUCCUUCCUGGUCUUGGUCGUGUCAUUAAUGUUGAUGUUGUCUUGCUACCGUUAGUGUGGGUGUAGUCAGUCAGUCCUCAGUUUCAUAUUCUGUUCAUCAUACUAAACACCACUAUCCUGCACCAUGAGUCCAGCGUUUGGGUCACUUCUUCUCAUCUACACACGAAGCAUCCUGGCAGGUCUUGUGUUGUGCAGUCCUGUCCCUGGGAUCAUUUGAAAGCUCUUUGUUCUUCUUGAUGUUGAUGGAGAGGUUAGAAUAGAAGAAAUUAAAUCUCUAGACAUUUUUUUCUGUGUUUUUGGUUCAUGGUCUAUCUCCCUCAUUUAAAAUUAAAACAUGGCAUAAAAUUAUGAUACAAUUCAUUUCUUUGUAAGUGACAAAACUAAUGAAUUCAGAACUCAAUUAGCUUUACAGGUACACAUGUAUAUCAUUGCUUCUUGUAAAUUCAAUAAUGCCCCUUGACUUUGAAUAUUUCAUGUUCUUUUUUCUUUUGCUCAACAUCAGUUGCUGCCACCUCACCUGUCAUCAGUUUAUCAGGGAUUGACAAAAACAGUUACACACUAUGAAAGGCAGCAACAAGUUUAAUAUUCAGAAACCUAAAGUAUGUAUCAGCAGCAGAAUGCACCUGAAAAUAAAUGUCCAUAUUUUUUUCAGUUAUGUGAAACUUGUGAGUAUUUUGGAUUAGUAGCACUGCUGUGUUUGUUGCAUCAUAUUGCUGUAAUUGUUUAUAUGCUUUAUAUAUUCUGAGGUAAGUUGAUCUAUAGUGUUACAUCAUAUUCUAUAAGGAUGUUAUGUGUUUGUAGACUUUGUGCCCAGUUUGACCCAUUUAGCAGAAGUCAGCCUGUUUAAGGCUCUGAUAUCUAUUCUGUAUGACUUAAAGCAGUUAUGACAUGGUGUUGGGAAGCAUUCAUGUAACAAAGUGUUUUGCAGGUUACCUCUGUGGUGGCCAUCUUGUUUUCCCAGUAAAGAGGAGGCCUGCCUCAAUUGCAGCUCUUUUAUAGGCCAGUCUGAAUUGAGAAGGUGUGGUCUUUAGAGUAUUUAAAGGGAGCAGGAAAUGAAUUGGGGGCCAUUUUGAGACGUUGCUAUCUGUAUGUGCAUGAUAUUGGCAAGACACAAUAAAGCAAUUACUUCAGUUAAGAUGGAGUGAAGUCUGAUGUUUCCCUCACCGCGUCUCUCUGCAUAACACAUGGUAUCAUUUUCUCACCCAAUAAAGGAAUAUUUAAUA